GACGAACGCUGGCGGCGUGCUUAACACAUGCAAGUCGAACGAUGAUGCCCAGCUUGCUGGGGGGAUUAGUGGCGAACGGGUGAGUAACACGUGAGUAUCCUGCCCUUUACUCUUGGGUAUGCCUGGGAGACUGUGUCUAAUACCGGGUACGACCGUCUCUCGCACGUCGUGGGGGUGGAAAGGUUUUGUGGUUUGGGAUUGACUCGCGGCCUUUCAGCUUGUUGGUGGGGGAAUGGCCUACCAAGGCGACGACGGGUAGCCGGCCUGAGAGGGUGACCGGCCACACUGGGACUGAGACACGGCCCAGACUCCUACGGGAGGCAGCAGUGGGGAAUAUUGCACAAUGGGCGCAAGCCUGAUGCAGCGACGCCGCGUGCGGGAUGACGGCCUUCGGGUUGUAAACCGCUUUCGGUAGGGAAGAAGCGAGAGUGACGGUACCUGCAGAAGAAGCACCGGCUAACUACGUG
rnacentral:rRNA from 1 species